AGAUAUUAAUCAUGAAAUGAAAUUAAGGACUAAAGAUGGCUCAAUUCCAGCUUCAAUAAAAUUGUUUGACAAAUGUCCAACAAACGCCAAAACUUUAUGCCUGAAUAUGUUAGAUGAACAAGUGCCAGCAUUUAAUAUUAAAAUUAAAAUGCCAUUUAGAGAAAAUGCAGUUCAAAAAAAUAUUUUAAAAGUAAAAAUUUCUAGAAUUGUAACUGAUGCCACAACUAAAGAUGCACUUCAAAUAUCUGUUGAUGUCAUUAACAAGGGUCUGAAAUCCCAGGAGUUUUUCAUAACUAUUUCCAACUGUCCACUCUCAAAAACUGAAUCAGUUAUAGCAACUGUAAAAAAAAACCUGCUUCCUCAUUUAUCAGAAACUAUUACUUUUUUAUUACCUUUUAUAAUGGGAUCGAGCAAAAAAGUCAAAUUUAACUGUGAAUUAAUUGUUAAAGCUAAUAAAUUGAAGAUAAUAAAACCAUCACCUACGUUGCAUUCAAAUACAAUUAUCGUGUCUAGAAGAUCAUUCGAAAUAGAAACUCAUUCGAGAUGCUUUUGUGUUUGGAGUUGCCUUUGCCACUGUGUUGGAAACAUAGAAACCCAUAUAGAUGUUAGUAUAUGUCAAAAGAUGAAUAAUGCUGCGCAAAAAAAUGCUGGCCUACUUUUUAGCUGUCCACCCAAUACAGAUUUAAAUGAAAAUUGUUUAGUGGAAUCCAUGA